AGUGAACGCUGGCGGUAGGCCUAACACAUGCAAGUCGAACGGCAGCACAGUAAGAGCUUGCUCUUACGGGUGGCGAGUGGCGGACGGGUGAGGAAUACAUCCGAAUCUACUUUUUCGUGGGGGAUAACGUAGGGAAACUUACGCUAAUACCGCAUACGACCUACGGGUGAAAGCAGGGGAUCUUCGGACCUUGCGCGAUUGAAUGAGCCGAUGUCGGAUUAGCUAGUUGGCGGGGUAAAGGCCCACCAAGGCGACGAUCCGUAGCUGGUCUGAGAGGAUGAUCAGCCACACUGGAACUGAGACACGGUCCAGACUCCUACGGGAGGCAGCAGUGGGGAAUAUUGGACAAUGGGCGCAAGCCUGAUCCAGCUAUACCGCGUGGGUGAAGAAGGCCUUCGGGUUGUAAAGCCCUUUUGUUGGGAAAGAAAAGCAGCAGGUUAAUACCCCGCUGUUCUGACGGUACCCAAAGAAUAAGCACCGGCUAACUUCGUG
rnacentral:rRNA from 1 species